CCUACGGGAGGCAGCAGUCGGGAAUAUUGGACAAUGGGCGCAAGCCCGAUCCAGCAAUACCGCGUGUGUGAAGAAGGCCUGCGGGUUGUAAAGCACUUUCAGUUGGGAAGAUAAUGACGUUACCAACAGAAGAAGCACCGGCUAACUCCGUGCCAGCAGCCGCGGUAAUA
rnacentral:rRNA from 1 species